UACGUAGGGUGCAAGCGUUGUCCGGAAUUAUUGGGCGUAAAGAGCUCGUAGGCGGUCUGUCGCGUCGGCUGUGAAAACUUGGGGCUCAACCCCAAGCCUGCAGUCGAUACGGGCAGACUAGAGUGCGGUAGGGGAGACUGGAAUUCCUGGUGUAGCGGUGAAAUGCGCAGAUAUCAGGAGGAACACCGGUGGCGAAGGCGGGUCUCUGGGCCGUUACUGACGCUGAGGAGCGAAAGCGUGGGGAGCGAACAGG
rnacentral:rRNA from 1 species